UACGUAGGGUGCAAGCGUUUAAUCGGAAUUACUGGGCGUAAAGCGUGCGCAGGCGGUUAUGUAAGACAGGUGUGAAAUCCCCGGGCUUAACCUGGGAACUGCAUUUGUGACUGCAUAGCUAGAGUACGGUAGAGGGGGGAUGGAAUUCCGCGUGUAGCAGUGAAAUGCGUAGAUAUGCGGAGGAACACCGAUGGCGAAGGCAAUCCCUGGACCUGUACUGACGCUCA
rnacentral:rRNA from 1 species